AAUUCUCAACCAUGUCUUGACCGACAUGGCUUGGACUUGGGGGUUGCUGGCUGCGAAAGCGGUCAGCUCUCCUGAAAUGCAUUAGCGACGGACGGCAAGUCCUGACGUGCACGGCCUAGACGUGAUAAUGAUCGUCACCGCUGGAGCGCCGGACGAGCCAUCAGUCUGUUUGCUUCCAAUCCCCCCUCGACUUGGGACUUUCGAGCCAGGCUUAGCUACUAGUUGGUCAUGAGACCGACGAACGCAGGCAGGCUUUUCGUCUCUCGUCUACAUCGACG
rnacentral:misc_RNA from 1 species